rnacentral:tRNA from 1 species
GAUCCUGCUCAGUGGUCCAGUGGUAAAGCGCUCGCCGCAAAGCCAGAGGGUCCUGGGUUCGAUCCCCAACAGGAUCG